ensembl:rRNA 5_8S_rRNA 5.8S ribosomal RNA
AACUCUUAGUGGUGGAUCACUUGGCUCGUGCGUUGAUGAAGAACGCAGCUAGCUGUGAGAACUAAUGUGAAUUGCAGGACACAUUGAUCAGACACUUCGAACGCACCUUGCGGCCUCCUGGGGCUACGCCUUUCUGAGGGUCA